AUUGUAAAUACACCAUUUCAUUUCGUAACUUCAAACGUAUAUCAGAUUUCACAAUUUUCUCUGUGUCUUUCUUAGUUACGUUGCAUGCUCAAAGGAUCAGAACUUGAUGAAGAACCUGGCAACUGCAUCGAAAAUCUUGUAAGAUCAUCCUGUUGUUGUUGUUGCUGAGAUGUACUUGAAGAUGAAGAUGAAGAGGUAGUUGAUAAGCUGCGCGACAAAAACCUUUGACUUCCACCAUAGAAACCAGAAAACGCGGACGAGAAGGAGGAAUAACUGGAUUCGAAACUUGUGUAGUUACCGCAUGAUGCGAUUGAUGAGUGGUGAGAUAACCUAGUUCUGAUUUACCUUGAACUCUUUCUGGGAAGUUAAGCUUAGCUUUGCAUCCUUUGAACCUCAGCGCCGCCGCAUCGUAAGCAAGUGCUGCGGCUUCAGCCGUAUUAAAAGUCCCAAGCCAUACUCUAGCUGCUUUCUUUGGAUCUCGUAUCUCGGCAGCCCAUUUGCCCCAAGGUCUUUGCCGUACGCCUCUAUAGUGUCUUCUCCUUACAUUACCUUUUACAAAAAAAUUAAUUUUCUUUAGCAUGUUUACUAUAGCUUUUUUUUUUCUAUAUUAAAUGAAACAAAAUCAAACUGCAACAACAGAUUUAGGCUUCAUUGCAGUCAAAAGAUGAAAAUAUGUAUAAUCUCAGUGCAUCAGAGAAAGAGAUCGAUGAAACACA